UCUGGAAAAUAAUAUUUGAACUAUUGGGUGGUGAGGAAGGAGCUUUGCACACCUAAGAGACCAUAUAAGUUACUACCACAGUAGAACAUAAGUUCCUUGAGGGAAGACUGAAUGUAGAUUUUUGUAUCCAUCCCAAGUACCUGGAAUACCUCCUUAUACCUAAUUCAAAUGAAUUGAAUUUCAACAGCCAAUUUAUAAUAGUUAAUGAAUAAGAGAAAAGACCUCAGGACUAGGUAUUAUCAAGGAGUUAAAACCUCAUUCAUAAAUGCCAUAUGUAAUAAUUAAAAUAAAUAAUUAAAAUAAAUAUUUCUACCCCGAUAUAUAUAUUUUAUAAAGUUUAUUGGAAAGGUAGACAAACGUUCCUAAGAAACCUGACCACAUGGUGCUUAGCCUGCCAGUCUCUUCCUCAUUCCUUCCUCACCUGCCUGCUCUGUUUUUCCCUUUCAAUUCUUCUGCAGUUCUCUCCCAAGAAGCCCCCAGCCUUGACUUUUAUUGGCAUACAGAACGUACACAGACGCAACCCAGCAGCAGCUCUGCUAUGUCAGGAAUGUUUAAUAGACAGGUCAGACAUAGUGAAACUUGAGGACAGAUGCAGUAUUUACUACUAUAAUGCUAAACACAGUUUACAACCAGGAAAAGAAUAAACUAGAGGCUGUUAGAAUUGGCCCAUCUGUAGACAAAAAGGCAUGUCAGCUGAUGAAUGGGAAUGAGGAGCCACACAAACUCUCCACAAUAAUCCAAACUGGCAAACAGCUGGUAAACUCAAUAUGCUGAGGAAGAGCACAUCCUCCAAAUAAUCAACUCUACUACAAGCCCAGCUACCAUGACCAGCAUUGAGGGAAAUGAUCAUAAUAAAGGGGCAAGUUGUUAACUGCCUCUGAAAUAUUGCACCCCUCCCCUCUCUUCUUAGCUACUAAAGCUACUAAAGACUGGAAAAAAACAAAGUUUUUGCUACCAAGUUCUUUUUGUGCUGAACAAAUCAUUUACCAUCUAAAACAGAUAUAGUUUUACUACUAGAAAUGACAUAAAAUGAGCUAUAUUAUCAACAGCCUUGAAACGACACCCUAAGAACCAGUGGACUUUGUCAUCUAUCUUGCAACCAAAACCUCCUAUAUUUUCUAAAUUCCCAUAUUAAAUUAUGAAUUCUCCAAGCACAGGGAAUAUGUUAUUUUUCUACAUUUGUUUCAAGCACUUAACACAAUGCUACACACACAACUCUUAAUAAUUUUUUCAAUCAUUUAUUCACUCAUUGCUUCACAGUCUGACAAAAGGUUGUCAGCUCCAUCAACUUAUAUGCUGAAUUUCUUUUAAAUUUCUUUAUUUAGUCAAUUUAGAAUAUUAUUCCUUGGUUACAAUAAACACAUUGUUUACCUCCCUCCCCUACACCAACCCUUUCCACAGCCAACAGCAAUUUCAUUGGGCAUUAUUUAUAGACUAAGGCUCCAAUAACUUUUUGGACAGUCACAUUAUGCUCAUUACAUGCUGAAAUAUCACCUAAGCUAUCUCCCCCAUAUUGUAUUUGUGCAUCUGAUUUACUGAACCAAAGUGCAGAAUUUUCAUCUUGUUGCACUUUACUAUUAAAUAUGAGAAGAUCUUUCUUCGUUCUGAUCCUGUCAUCCAACACAUUGCCUUCACCCUUUUCAGCUUUCUGAAUAAAUCUGAAUGAAUGAUGAAACUGAAUCUGAAAAAUUUAAUAGCUACCCAUGCCUCUUCCAAAACUAAGGACAAUGAUAAACAAGCCAGGGCUAUGAAUAUAGCUAGGUGAAUACUAGAAAACACUCCCCUUCAGGCAACGCCCUUUCCACAAAAUCACUAUGGGUAUAAAUCUACCAAUAGCAUCUUUCCCAUAUUCCUCCACAAGAACAUUAGUACACAAACAAGUACCUUGCUGAAAUACAAAUACGUUUACGGUUGUUCCCCCAAACUAGUUAUUAUAUUAAAAAAUAAAAUGAGGCAAACUUAACCAAACCUUUCUUUUUUUAACCCAUGCUGGCUUCUCUUCAUUUGGCACUUAUUUUGAUAACACUAUAGACUUUUAGUUCUACUCUGAUGUGUAUUUUUUUCUAUUC